rnacentral:rRNA from 1 species
UACGGAGGGUGCAAGCGUUAUCCGGAUUCACUGGGUUUAAAGGGUGCGUAGGUGGGCAGGUAAGUCAGUGGUGAAAUCUCCGGGCUUAACCCGGAAACUGCCAUUGAUACUAUCUGUCUUGAAUACCGUGGAGGUGAGCGGAAUAUGUCAUGUAGCGGUGAAAUGCUUAGAUAUGACAUAGAACACCAAUUGCGAAGGCAGCUCACUAAGGUUGUAUUGACACUGAGGCACGAAAGCGUGGGGAUCAAACAGG